rnacentral:rRNA from 1 species
CUUCCGUGGAAUUAUGGGUGCUCUUCCUGUUCGCAGGCUUGAGUUACCUUCCACGGGUGUAUUUUAAAACUCGUUUUGUAUUAUUGUCUGAUUUCAAAAUUUUAAUAAAAGUUAAAACUUUCAACAACGGAUCUCUAGGUUCUCGCAUCGAUGAAGAACGCAGCGAAAUGCGAUAAGUAGUGUGAAUUGCAGAUUUCAGUGAAUCAUCGAAUCUUUGAACGCACAUUGCGCCCUUUGGUAUUCCGAAGGGCAUGCCUGUCUGAGCGUCAGUAAAUCAAUCAAACCUUGGUUUGGUAUUGGGAGAAGUGGUUUUACCUCUCUCCUUUAAGCUAUUGGCGACGCUAUUUCAGCUUGUAAGACGUAGUAAGUAAUUUCUCGUUAAAGCAACUGGAUGGCUGUCUGCCAAAUGAACGAUUUAUUUUAAAGUUUGACCUCAGAUCAGGUAGGGAUACCCCCCUGAACUUAAGC